CAUUAUAUUCACUAGAUUCAACCUCUAUUAGUCAAAUUCUCUUUUGACAAAGGAAAAAAAGAGAGCAGAUCUUGAUGCUUAAGACGAUACAGGCUACAUACCCCAUAGUUUGAGCCCAUAUCAAGAAGGGGCUACGUAAGUGCCCACGUUGAGGGCAAUAAGAUGAAGUGGCCCAUAUAAGUGCUUGAUCCAUGAGCCCAGAAGAUCUGAAGUCUCAAAAAAGUCAACUAACAAUUAACUAAACAAGAGUAAACAACAAACCAAAAAAAACAAAAAAACAAAAAAAUCCAAAUUGACGGAUUGCUAUCUUUCUUUCUUUCUUCUUUUUUCGGCCGGAGAUAUUGAGAUAUACAUGAAUCUGAUAGAACCGAAAACGGACGGCCUGAAACGGGCAAAAAAGUUUCCCCAGAUAGUCGGAUCACCGUUGACUUGCCACUGCCUAUGGAUCCGUGAUAAUUGCUUGCCAGUUAUUCGCUCCUUCCUUGAUUUCUUACUUUGGCUUCUUGUGCUUCCUUACUAACUACAAAUCUGCCACAAACCUUACCCCUUCGCUCGGUUUCUACUUCCUGCUUUCCUUUGCUGCUUGGGCCUACGAUUACGAUUACAGAUAGUUUAUGCUACAAUCUCCAACGGAAAACAUUGAUAUAUAAUGAGAACGAGUUCAGAUGCACUCGGGUGCUUUAAUUUGUUAUGGAGAGUUGAGAUUAGAAUAAGUUGCAGGGUGCUUCUAAUGCGUUUGCUUCCUGGCAAACAACAGCCUCAGUACGAAGAAUAACCUUGGACUGUUUUAGGAUCGUCGGGGGAAAACACGUACGGACGAGCGAGGAGCUAGUUUAGCAUUUUCCUGGGUAAUGCGCUAGGUUGUCAGUAAAUUGUUGCGUGAUUGAUCAGUUCUUGCAGCAAAUAUUGAAAAUUAUUCGUAUGGUACAUCUCUAAUGCUCAAAAUUAUGGGAAAAGCCCAGGCGUGUCAAAGGGGAAAUUUGGAUCAAUUUCCGCUGGAUCAAUAGGGAAAUUAAAAUCAAGAAUUGGAGAAUUGCUGGCUGAUGUGUUGGCUGAAAUGAUCUCAGUAAUGUCAGAUUCCGAGCAUGGCUGGUGUUUGAUGCCAUGGAACUCAUCCAUCUUGAAAGA